UUAGAGGUUUUUCUUCAUCUGAAUCUGUCUUUACUGCAAAUAUUUACAUUUUUCUGGCUGUAUGUCUUUUAUCUGCUAAAAAACACAACUAAAAUUAAAGUGGUGGCUGUUUUAGUCACUGGCUUUCCAAGAUAGUGGGGGAGCAUUUACUGCCAGCACUGAGAGCUGUGCUCACUGCCUUGCAUGCUGCUGGCUUGGAGAUGUGGUUACUGCCACUGCUGCUCGUACUCACAAUUCAAUUGUUAGCAGGGCCUCUUAAAAGAGCCAUGUGGUUUUUCCAUUUAUGCUGAGUCAGGAAACCUUACUUAAAGUUGCAGCAUGAGUCUCUGCAUGUCUCUAGCAAAACUGAGCCCACCAGGGAAAAAUGCUGCUACCAAGAAGCUUUGUUUGUGUCUGUUCUUUUGUUUCUAAAUCCCUUAAGUUUUUGUCAAGUUUUAAGUGGAAAUUUGUGCCACAUGUUGAGAGCCAUGUCAGUCCCAAAUGAACACAACAAUGUGUUUUGAAAAUACUCUUGACUUCUUUAAAAAAUAUUUUUGGGCAUGGCUAGAGGCAAAUACAGUGAUGGUAAUAAAGCCAAUGCAGGAGAGAGAACGAUGUCUUUCCAGCUUGUGGUCCUGGAGCAAAAGCUGCUGAUUCACCUUGGUUGCCAGUUUUCUCUUAUAAGUACUUACCACAGUAAAUAAGUUACCUAUACCCUCAUCAAGUGUGUUGCUUAUCUUUACAAUUAGGCUAUAAACAAACUAGGUUUUUAAUUUUAAUUUUCUUAUUCUAAUUAAAGACAGUUACAAUGCUAUGAGCUGUCCUGGAACAGCUCUCUGACAUGGAACAGAGAGAACAGGAUGACCAAGAGCCAGCAAGUAACUAAAUCCCCAAUCCAAUAGAUUGUGAGAUACUGAACCCUGGUGAGUACUAUGCAAGUGAGCAUGAUGAAGCCUAUCAUCCUUCACUUCUCUCUACUUAAAUCAAGGUGUUGACUGAACUUUGUAAAACUUUAACAGAAAUCCAUUUGCAUGUAUCUCUUUCAAUCUCUAGAAAAGUCCUGGCUUCUCUAGCUAACACAACCAUUCCUCCUUCAAGGAUAAGAAUGGUUAGCUUUAGUCUCUCAUACCAUAUCACUUUAGCACUCCCUCUCUGUCUUCCUCUUGAACUUAAAAGCAAAUUUGUGAUUAUACCUGAUCCACAUAGAUAAUCUAGAGGGAAAAAUCUCUUCAUUGCAAAGGUCAUCUAACACAGCCUUAAUUUCAGAUGUAUCUUUAAUACCCAUAAAAAUAUGAUAUAACAUUUUCAGUUUCCAAAGAUUUGAUCAGGACAUCUUAAAUGUUCCUACAACAGUUGUUGACUGUGAAGUGAUAGAGGUGUGCUAAUUAGUUCAAUUAAAGCAUUUCACAAUACAUACAUAUACACACAUUUUGUAGUACUCCAGAAAAUAACAGAAAAAUAUCAAAUUUUUCUUUGAUAAUUGAACAUUUUUUAAAAGCUGUUGUAAAGCUGAGUGUGGUGGUACUUGUAUUUAAUUCCAUCACCAGAAGGCAGAAGAAGAUCUCUGAGUUCAAGGUUAGCCUGGUACACAGAGAGUUCCAGGAGGACAUUAUUCCAUAUACCAGAAAAACAAUGAUUUUUAAAAACUUCUUCAUAGGAGCUCAGGGAAUGGUCUGAAGGUCUGGUACAAGCUAAGUAUGGACCCUAUAGUUGACAUACACCACAAAGCCUUCAUAAACUCUUAUCUUGCAUUGUGUCUAGUUAAAAGUUGACCGGUACUUAUCACCAAUGAAACUCCAGUGGUCCUUAAAGAAAAUAAAGCUUGUACAUAAUAAACAAAUGCAGACACCCUAAGUUUUUCAGUAUCUGAAAAUUGCAAAUAUAACAUCAUAUAACAUCUUCUAACUUCUGUAGCAUAUAUUCUAUUGUCAUAAAACAGUUCAGAAGUUUUGGUUGUGAGCCUAUCCUUUUAACGGCUGGGCUAUGCCUCCAGCCCCAGUUCAGAAGUUUUACAGUGACAGUUAGUACCUUGGAAUCCCUCUAUCAGAAUUCCCUUACUAUCUCUACCAUAUCCUUUACCAAAAUCAAGAAUCACUCAUUGCAGUUGUUCCUCCUGUAAUUUUAGUUUUAUAUGAACUCAAUCAUUUUGCCUUCAUGUUUUUAAUAGUACAGACCACACUUUAGCCUUGAAAUCAAGCAGUGCAUGCUAUGUGUGGAAAUAACUUCCUGCAAGCCACUGAAGGGGGUGGAAUAGGUUUGUGAUUCCUGUCCACACUCUCUUCAGAUACUUAGUCCAAUUGAUCAGUCCAGAAACUACAUGAAAAAGAUUAAUUUAUAAGAUUUUCUUAAUUAACUAACUAAUUUUGUUUAUGUGAUGGCACACAUGCAUGUAUGGACACACACAUGAACAUAUUCUACAACAUGCAUGUGGAGGACCUAGGACAACUUGUUGAAGUUAGAUCUUUCCUUCCACCAUCUGGGUCCUAGUAGAACCUUUAAUUUAGGUUGUCAGGCUUGGUAGCAAGCACCUUUGCACACUGUGCUAUCUCACUAAUUUCCUAUUUACUGAGAUUUACUUUAUCUGACCUCAUUUGAGCUCAUUCAUGGAGGAAAUCUGUCUACAGGAUGUUUGUUUUUUUGAGAAGCACUCCAUUGGAAAAUGAAGGCAGUUGGGUUGACAAGAGGCUGAAGAGAAAUACAAAGAAAAUAGUUAGGAAUGAGAUGUCUAUGAGGUCUUUGAAAACUUCAGACACAUUCCUACAAAUUUAGAAGGCCACAAAUGUGUGUAUAGGCCAAUAAAAGUAGACAAGUAUCUUAAAAGACACUUCAUCACAGAAGAUUUACAUGUGACAAAUAUGCAUAUCUACAGAUAAUUCAAUAUUGUUGCCCAUUUGGAAAAUGUCAUUUAAAACCACAAUAAAACCCUGCUGCAAAACCAACAAGCACUGAAGUUAUGGAGUACUAAUGGCAGCUUAUUGUGAAGUUACACAUCAACUAACCUCAGGACUUAGUAACCACUCCCAAUGAAACUAGAGAAAUGAAAACUGACACAAAAAACCAUACAUCUCAUGAAAGGUUUAUUCACUAAUUGUUAAAUGCUGGAAACACCUCAGUUUUUUGUUCAAGUGGUGAAUGAAUAAACAAACCUUCAUAUAAUUAAUGGAAAACUCACUAGCAGUAAGAUUUGUAUCAUGAUCAGUGAAAUAAACCAAUUUCAAAAUGCUACCAACUGUAUGAUUCUAUUUCCAUGUCCUAUUGGUAAAGGUAAGCUACAGGAACUUUUCUUACACUCAAGGUCUUCAGCAGAUGUAUACAUUCAGAUAUGCUCCACAUAUUAAUUGCAACUUGUUCAACCACACUUCAAGAAUUUCUGUCCUGAAAGAGACCCUUCUGGAAGAUGGAGGAGACUCAACUUGGGAAGUUUCGCAGUGUUUGUGAUUUAUAUUUUAAAGUUAGAUUGUAUGGCACUCUGCUUCUGUGACAGCAUUUAUUUAAAUAGGCUCCUACUGAUUUCCUCCUUUCCCAUCUGCAUGACAGUUCCUAUCUUAAAUAUCAUAAAACUACUCAAACUUAUGCUUUCGUUAUUUCUCUGCCAAGAAUCACUAUAUCUUUUUACAUGCCUAAUACUUACCAAAUCCAUGGGGCAGGAGAAUGAAAGGGUGCAGCCCGACUAAUGUGAAUAUUUGUGGGGAUAGCUAACCUAAAGGAUGAGAUACUCAGAUGACCCUAGAGGUCUCAGAAGGGAAGAAGGAGACACAAUCUCUAUAAGAAUAAGGAUCAAGCAUAUUAUUUCCUGGACAGAAGUUCCUGUUGACUUAGCAAGCAUAAUACUCUGAGAUAUUUCCCUGACUGUGCCUGAGAGCCUUGACAAAUGAACAGAAGCCCAAAAGGGAUGGAGAUUUAGGUACAAGGGCUCCACUUGACUCCACCUGCUUCUGCCAGCCUGGGCUCCUACCUCAUCUGGGACACAGUGAAGUGAUGCUGUAGCUUUGCUUCCACGUCCUUUUGCUGGGUAACCAGUUCCUUUUGCUUCAGCAGGAACUGAAGAUUUUCCUCCAGUUUUGAUGUUCCUGUUCAUUAGAAGAUUAUGUUCCUAGGGCACAGUUGUGCACCCAUAUACCCACCUGUGCAUUCAUGUGCAUGCACACACAGUCACUCCUGAACAGACAUAGGUACAUGGAUGUACCCAUACAAACUUCAUUUUAUCCACAUGUUUACUUCCUAGAUACAUUAAUGUAAGAAGAGAUCCCCUGGGAUACCAUGAAGAAGAGAGUGUAUACUGAAGACCAUCUGAAACAUCCAGCCUCAUGGACUGAACAACUACUGGAUUCUUUAAAUUUUCAUUGGUAGACAGCCCUUGUUGGACUUCCUGGACUACAGCUUGUGAGACAUUCCAGUUUCUACGUACAUGGGCAGAUUGACCUUUACCAGACCUGUGGGUGUAGAGAACCUUGAAUAAUUCAGCUGUGUGCUUUUUUUUUCCUUCUUCACCUGCCCACUGAGGAAGGUGUGCUGGUUAACAAUAGUGUGCAUAAAGAAAUUAUUGCUUAUGUCAUUUCUUAAACAUUUAUGCUCUUAAUGCUUAAAAGAAGGCUAGCAUUGUUUGCAAAAAAAAAUGGUGAUUUCCCUCCCCUGAAUAGUAAAUGAAAUUACUUCUGUUGAGUAAACUUUUUAUGUCAUCUUAUAAUAAAAACUGAAAAACCCUUUGUUCUAUUAAUUAAAAAAUUUUCUAUGUGCACCCUUGAUAACAGAUUUUGAAGAAAUCAUGUAAGAUGAUAAAGCAUUUGAAUGGUACAAUAGAUGUAAAAAUCAGUUUAAAAGAAACGUUUGUUUUUACAUUAAAUGUUUAUUUGAAAUCAAAUGAUUUUGUACAUAAAGUUCAAUAAUAAUAAUAAUAAUAGUAAUAAUAAGACA